rnacentral:rRNA from 1 species
AGAGUUUGAUCCUGGCUCAGAAUCAACGCUGGCGGCGUGCCUAACACAUGCAAGUCGAACGCGAAAGUGGAGCAAUCCAUGAGUAGAGUGGCAAACGGGUGAGUAACGCGUGGGUGACCUGCCUUCGAGUGGGGGAUAACGCUCCGAAAGGGACGCUAAUACCGCAUAACAUCCUGCCUUUUAAGAGGUGGAGAUCAAAGCCUGGGACCGCAAGGCCAGGCGCUGGAAGAGGGGCCCGCGUCUGAUUAGCUAGUUGGUGGGGUAAUGGCUCACCAAGGCUUCGAUCAGUAUCCGGCCUGAGAGGGCGGACGGACACACUGGGACUGAGACACGGCCCAGACUCCUACGGGAGGCAGCAGUGGGGAAUUGUUCGCAAUGGGCGCAAGCCUGACGACGCAACGCCGCGUGGAGGAUGAAGACCUUCGGGUCGUAAACUCCUUUCGAUCGAGACGAACGGCUUCUGGGUGAACAGCCCAGGAGAGUGACGGUACCGAGAGAAGAAGCCCCGGCUAACUCCGUGCCAGCAGCCGCGGUAAUACGGGGGGGGCAAGCGUUGUUCGGAAUUACUGGGCGUAAAGGGCUCGUAGGUGGCCAACUAAGUCAGACGUGAAAUCCCUCGGCUUAACCGGGGAACUGCGUCUGAUACUGGAUGGCUUGAGUUUGGGAGAGGGACGCGGAAUUCCAGGUGUAGCGGUGAAAUGCGUAGAUAUCUGGAGGAACACCGGUGGCGAAGGCGGCGUCCUGGACCAACACUGACACUGAUGAGCGAAAGCCAGGGGAGCAAACGGGAUUAGAUACCCUAGUAGUCC